AUUGAACGCUGGCGGCAUGCCUUACACAUGCAAGUCGAACGGUAACAGGUCUUUCGGGAUGCUGACGAGUGGCGAACGGGUGAGUAAUACAUCGGAACGUGCCUAGUAGUGGGGGAUAACUACUCGAAAGAGUGGCUAAUACCGCAUGAGAUCUAUGGAUGAAAGCAGGGGACCUUCGGGCCUUGUGCUACUAGAGCGGCCGAUGGCAGAUUAGGUAGUUGGUGGGAUAAAAGCUUACCAAGCCUACGAUCUGUAGCUGGUCUGAGAGGACGAUCAGCCACACUGGGACUGAGACACGGCCCAGACUCCUACGGGAGGCAGCAGUGGGGAAUUUUGGACAAUGGGCGCAAGCCUGAUCCAGCAAUGCCGCGUGCAGGAUGAAGGCCUUCGGGUUGUAAACUGCUUUUGUACGGAACGAAAAGUCUUGGGUUAAUACCCUGGGAUCAUGACGGUACCGUAAGAAUAAGCACCGGCUAACUACGUGCCAGCAGCCGCCGUAACAC
rnacentral:rRNA from 1 species